rnacentral:rRNA from 1 species
GACGAACGCUGGCGGCGUGCUUAACACAUGCAAGUCGAGCGACGAACCGGGCUUCGGCCCGGGGCAAAGCCGCGAACGGGUGAGUAUCACGUGGGUAACCUGCCCCGAUGACCGGGAUAACCCGAGGAAACUCGAGCUAAUACCGGAUGUGCUCCCAAUCCAUCAGGGUUGGAAGUAAAGGAAGCUUCGGCCUCCGCAUUGGGAUGGGCCCGCGGCCCAUUAGCUUGUUGGUGAGGUAACGGCUCACCAAGGCCACGAUGGGUAGCUGGUCUGAGAGGACGAUCAGCCACACUGGGACUGAGACACGGACCAGACUCCUACGGGAGGCAGCAGUGGGGAAUCUUGCGCAAUACGCGAAAGCGUGACGCAGCAACGCCGCGUGAGGGAAGAAGGCCUUCGGGUUGUAAACCUCUUUCAGGAGGGACGAAGGUUCAGGCGCGAAUAGCGUCCUGGACUGACGGUACCUCCAGAAGAAGCCCCGGCUAACUACGUGCCAGCAGCCGCCGUAACAC